rnacentral:lncRNA from 1 species
GGCAGGAGAUAAUGAAAACAAUGAUGCACGUGAGACAUUUGGAGGUGGAAAUAGCAGAACUUGCCAACUGUUUGGCUAUGUGGGCCAGGAAGAAUUAUGUAUCAAGGAUGUCCUCCAGGAGUAAUUAAAAUAUGGGACUACAGAAAGGAAGCUGGUGGGUAGUGGUGAUCAUAGGAGCUUGUUAGUUAAUCAGUUUAAGAUGUCAUGAAACAUUUAAUUUGAGAUGUUAACUAAAGACUGCUGUUAGCUUUUGGCAACGUGGAGGCCCUAAAGAAGAGCAUCUUCACCUGACAAGUGGGAUCAACAGUAGACUGCAGUGGGUUGAGGCACAAGUGAGAGAUAUGAGGUUGGGGGCAACAUUUAUUGGACUGACAACUUUUUCCAACAUGGAGCUGUGAAGGUUGAUUGAUGGCAUCACAUCGAAGAACACUCUGGGGGGAGCUGUUUAUCCCCAUCUUCCAUCUGGAGCUGCUGGGAUAGAGUUCACUGUGAUGAUGGCUACUGAAUGAGCUGCAC